AACGAACGCUGGCGGCAUGCCUAACACAUGCAAGUCGAACGAACCAUUCGGGGUUAGUGGCGCACGGGUGCGUAACGCGUGGGAAUCUGCCCUUGGCUUCGGAAUAACAGUUAGAAAUGACUGCUAAUACCGGAUGAUGUCGCAAGACCAAAGAUUUAUCGGCCAGGGAUGAGCCCGCGUAGGAUUAGGUAGUUGGUGGGGUAAAGGCCUACCAAGCCGACGAUCCUUAGCUGGUCUGAGAGGAUGAUCAGCCACACUGGGACUGAGACACGACCCAGACUCCUACGGGAGGCAGCAGUGGGGAAUAUUGGACAAUGGGGGCAACCCUGAUCCAGCAAUGCCGCGUGAGUGAUGAAGGCCUUAGGGUUGUAAAGCUCUUUUACCCGGGAUGAUAAUGACAGUACCGGGAGAAUAAGCUCCGGCUAACUCCGUGCCAGCCGCCGCAGUAA
rnacentral:rRNA from 1 species